rnacentral:rRNA from 1 species
ACGAACGCUGGCGGCGUGCCUAAUACAUGCAAGUAGAACGCUGAAGAGAGGAGCUUGCUCUUCUUGGAUGAGUUGCGAACGGGUGAGUAACGCGUAGGUAACCUGCCUUGUAGCGGGGGAUAACUAUUGGAAACGAUAGCUAAUACCGCAUAACAAUGGAUGACACAUGUCAUUUAUUUGAAAGGGGCAAUUGUUCCACUACAAGAUGGACCUGCGUUGUAUUAGCUAGUAGGUGAGGUAAUGGCUCACCUAGGCGACGAUACAUAGCCGACCUGAGAGGGUGAUCGGCCACACUGGGACUGAGACACGGCCCAGACUCCUACGGGAGGCAGCAGUAGGGAAUCUUCGGCAAUGGGGGCAACCCUGACCGAGCAACGCCGCGUGAGUGAAGAAGGUUUUCGGAUCGUAAAGCUCUGUUGUAAGUCAAGAACGGGUGUGAGAGUGGAAAGUUCACACUGUGACGGUAGCUUACCAGAAAGGGACGGCUAACUACGUGCCAGCAGCCGCGGUAAUACGUAGGUCCCGAGCGUUGUCCGGAUUUAUUGGGCGUAAAGCGAGCGCAGGCGGUUUGAUAAGUCUGAAGUUAAAGGCUGUGGCUCAAGCAUAGUUCGCUUUGGAAACUGUCAAACUUGAGUGCAGAAGGGGAGAGUGGAAUUCCAUGUGUAGCGGUGAAAUGCGUAGAUAUAUGGAGGAACACCGGUGGCGAAAGCGGCUCUCUGGUCUGUAACUGACGCUGAGGCUCGAAAGCGUGGGGAGCGAACAGGAUUAGAUACCCUGGUAGUCCACGCCGUAAACGAUGAGUGCUAGGUGUUGGAUCCUUUCCGGGAUUCAGUGCCGCAGCUAACGCAUUAAGCACUCCGCCUGGGGAGUACGACCGCAAGGUUGAAACUCAAAGGAAUUGACGGGGGCCCGCACAAGCGGUGGAGCAUGUGGUUUAAUUCGAAGCAACGCGAAGAACCUUACCAGGUCUUGACAUCCCGAUGCUAUUUCUAGAGAUAGAAAGUUACUUCGGUACAUCGGUGACAGGUGGUGCAUGGUUGUCGUCAGCUCGUGUCGUGAGAUGUUGGGUUAAGUCCCGCAACGAGCGCAACCCCUAUUGUUAGUUGCCAUCAUUCAGUUGGGCACUCUAGCGAGACUGCCGGUAAUAAACCGGAGGAAGGUGGGGAUGACGUCAAAUCAUCAUGCCCCUUAUGACCUGGGCUACACACGUGCUACAAUGGUUGGUACAACGAGUUGCGAGUCGGUGACGGCGAGCUAAUCUCUUAAAGCCAAUCUCAGUUCGGAUUGUAGGCUGCAACUCGCCUACAUGAAGUCGGAAUCGCUAGUAAUCGCGGAUCAGCACGCCGCGGUGAAUACGUUCCCGGGCCUUGUACACACCGCCCGUCACACCACGAGAGUUUGUAACACCCGAAGUCGGUGAGGUAACCUUUUGGAGCCAGCCGCCUAAGGUGGGACAGAUGAUUGGGGUG